GGUGCUUGCAUCAUGAUUUACAUUUGAGUGAGUGGCGAACUGGUGAGUAACACGUGGGAAACCUGCCCAGAAGCGGGGGAUAACACCUGGAAACAGAUGCUAAUACCGCAUAACAACUUGGACCGCAUGGUCCGAGCUUGAAAGAUGGCUUCGGCUAUCACUUUUGGAUGGUCCCGCGGCGUAUUAGCUAGAUGGUGGGGUAACGGCUCACCAUGGCAAUGAUACGUAGCCGACCUGAGAGGGUAAUCGGCCACAUUGGGACUGAGACACGGCCCAAACUCCUACGGGAGGCAGCAGUAGGGAAUCUUCCACAAUGGACGAAAGUCUGAUGGAGCAACGCCGCGUGAGUGAAGAAGGGUUUCGGCUCGUAAAACUCUGUUGUUAAAGAAGAACAUAUCUGAGAGUAACUGUUCAGGUAUUGACGGUAUUUAACCAGAAAGCCACGGCUAACUACGUGCCAGCAGCCGCGGUAAUACGUAGGUGGCAAGCGUUGUCCGGAUUUAUUGGGCGUAAAGCGAGCGCAGGCGGUUUUUUAAGUCUGAUGUGAAAGCCUUCGGCUCAACCGAAGAAGUGCAUCGGAAACUGGGGAAACUUGAGUGCAGAAGAGGACAGUGGAACUCCAUGUGUAGCGGUGAAAUGCGUAGAUAUAUGGAAGAACACCAGUGGCGAAGGCGGCUGUCUGGUCUGUAACUGACGCUGAGGCUCGAAAGUAUGGGUAGCAAACAGGAUUAGAUACCCUGGUAGUCCAUACCGUAAACGAUGAAUGCUAAGUGUUGGAGGGUUUCCGCCCUUCAGUGCUGCAGCUAACGCAUUAAGCAUUCCGCCUGGGGAGUACGGCCGCAAGGCUGAAACUCAAAGGAAUUGACGGGGGCCCGCACAAGCGGUGGAGCAUGUGGUUUAAUUCGAAGCUACGCGAAGAACCUUACCAGGUCUUGACAUACUAUGCAAAUCUAAGAGAUUAGACGUUCCCUUCGGGGACAUGGAUACAGGUGGUGCAUGGUUGUCGUCAGCUCGUGUCGUGAGAUGUUGGGUUAAGUCCCGCAACGAGCGCAACCCUUAUUAUCAGUUGCCAGCAUUAAGUUGGGCACUCUGGUGAGACUGCCGGUGACAAACCGGAGGAAGGUGGGGAUGACGUCAAAUCAUCAUGCCCCUUAUGACCUGGGCUACACACGUGCUACAAUGGAUGGUACAACGAGUUGCGAACUCGCGAGAGUAAGCUAAUCUCUUAAAGCCAUUCUCAGUUCGGAUUGUAGGCUGCAACUCGCCUACAUGAAGUCGGAAUCGCUAGUAAUCGCGGAUCAGCAUGCCGCGGUGAAUACGUUCCCGGGCCUUGUACACACCGCCCGUCACACCAUGAGAGUUUGUAACACCCAAA
rnacentral:rRNA from 1 species